AGAAGGACCGAGUUUCUCUCAGCCGAGAACUGUGGCUGCCUCUCCGGUGAAAACAGAGGAAGUGGGUGCGGCAGGAAGCGCUUUGGGAUCAGGGCGACCCCUGGAGCGUAGAGUAACCAGAUCACAAGCAUACGUGAAUGCUCAAAUUCCAUAGUUAUCAAAUGUAUUCAGAUUUACAUUUUACUUUUCUAGAAAAAAUGUAAAUAAUCCGUUGAGAACAUUUAAUGAAAAAUGUUGGUCGUAUCUUUAUCUGGUCUGCGGCUCUGUCCCUGUUUCCUGGAUAGGAGAUUACGUCUGUAUCACAGGAGGCACCUUCUCCCUGUUUCCUGGCACAGACUUUAAAUGUUACUGCUUUUCAUUCUUUGGGUCCAUGCUGCCUUUAUGAACUGUAACACUCACUGUGAAGGUCUGUAGCUUCACUCCUUAAGCCAGCGAGACCACAAACCCACUGGGAGGGAUGAACAACUCUGGACGGGAGGAGCAAACAACUCUGGAUGCGCCACCUUUAUGAAGUGUAAUACUUUACAUAUGAAGUGUAAGCCAGCAAGACCACGAACCCACCAGAAGGAACGAACAACUCCAGAUAUGCCACCUUUAAGAGCUGUAACACUCACCGUGGAAGUCUGCAGCUUCACUCCUGAAGUCAGUGAGACCAUGAACCCACCAGAAGGAAGAAACUCUGGAAACAUCUGAAGGAACAAGCUCCAGACACUACCAGUUCCGGACACAGCAUGAUCUUUUUUCACU
rnacentral:antisense_RNA from 1 species